rnacentral:piRNA from 1 species
UCAUGUAUGAAGUUAUGCCAGUAGAAACA